CAGGAAGGGGAAACAGUUCCAGGAACGCCUGCUUCUUGAGAUCCCCACAUCUGUGGACUGGAGAGAGAAAGGCUACGUGACUCCUGUGAAGGAUCAGAAAUUUACAAGCUGAUGCUAAACACACAUGUGAUAGGAUCAGGGCUCAGGCUCAGGUCUGAGCCUCAAUCUGACACUCUCUGUGGAGUGUCAGGAAAUAACAGAUAAAUAACAUCGAAUUUGAAGGUUUGCCGAGAAGUGAGAGAAAAAACUCCCUUUGCCUGCCUCCUAGGCUUCAAAGCUGUCUGGGCCAAGACGUCAAUUUAGCUGCAUCAUGGGUCAAUGAGGCCUUUGCGAAUUAGGCAAAUAAAUCAAGUUACUAG
rnacentral:lncRNA from 1 species